rnacentral:sRNA from 1 species
CCCAGCAGUCUUGUUUAUUUGUCCGGCUGUGUUAGGGUUCGACAGAACAUUCAGCUUAACCCCGCCUUCGGGCGGGGUUUUGCUUUUUU